rnacentral:rRNA from 1 species
GAGUUUGAUCCUGGCUCAGGAUGAACGCUGGCGGCGUGCCUAAUACAUGCAAGUCGAGCGAACGGACGAGAAGCUUGCUUCUCUGAUGUUAGCGGCGGACGGGUGAGUAACACGUGGAUAACCUACCUAUAAGACUGGGAUAACUUCGGGAAACCGGAGCUAAUACCGGAUAAUAUUUUGAACCGCAUGGUUCAAAAGUAAAAGACGGUCUUGCUGUCACUUAUAGAUGGAUCCGCGCUGCAUUAGCUAGUUGGUAAGGUAACGGCUUACCAAGGCAACGAUGCACUAGCCGACCUGAGAGGGUGAUCGGCCACACUGGAACUGAGACACGGUCCAGACUCCUACGGGAGGCAGCAGUAGGGAAUCUUCCGCAAUGGGCGAAAGCCUGACGGAGCAACGCCGCGUGAGUGAUGAAGGUCUUCGGAUCGUAAAACUCUGUUAUUAGGGAGAACAUAUGUGUAGUAACUGUGCACAUCUUGACGGUACCUAAUCAGAAAG